rnacentral:tRNA from 1 species
CAAAAAGUAGCUUAAACACAAAGCAUUCGGCCUACAACCGAAAAAUACUCUAGCAGUCUUUUUGA